GUGCUUUCUUUGUUGGCACAUAUACUAAAAUUGGAACAAUGUAGAGAAAGUUAGCAUGGCCCCUGCUCAAGGAUGACACACAAAUUUGUGAAGUGUCCCAUAUUUUU